rnacentral:misc_RNA from 1 species
AACGCACAUUGCGCCCGCCAGUAUUCUGGCGGGCAUGCCUGUUCGAGCGUCAUUUUCACCAUCAAGCUCUGCUUGUGUUGGGGUCCUGCGGCUGCCCGCAGGCCCUGAAACCCAGUGGCGGGCUCGCUAGUCACACCGAGCGCAGUAGCACAUCUCGCUCAGGGCGUGCGGCGGGUUCUUGCCGUAAAACAACCCCCCCCCUUUUCACCAAGGUUGACCUCGGAUCAGGUAGGAAUACCCGCUGAACUUAA